GAUGAAGAACGUAGCGAAAUGCGAUAAGUAGUGUGAAUUGCAGAAUUCAGUGAAUCAUCGAAUCUUUGAACGCACAUUGCGCCCCUUGGUAUCCCGAGGGGCAUGCCUGUUCGAGCGUCAUUUCACCACUCAAGCCUGGCUUGGUGUUGGGCGACGUCCCCUUUAGGGACGCGCCUCGAAACGCUCGGCGGCGCGGCACCGGCUUUAAGCGUAGCAGAAUCUUUCGCUUUGGAAGUCGGGGCCCCGCCUGCCAGAAUACCUACUUGUAAGGUUGACCUCGGAUCAGGCAGGGAUACCCGCUGAACUUAAGCAUAUCAAUAAGCGGAGGA
rnacentral:misc_RNA from 1 species